rnacentral:rRNA from 1 species
UACGUAGGGUGCAAGCGUUAAUCGGAAUUACUGGGCGUAAAGGGCUCGUAGGCGGCCAACUAAGUCGGACGUGAAAUCCCCAGGCUCAACCUGGGAACUGCGUCCGAUACUGGAUGGCUUGAAUCCGGGAGAGGGAUGCAGAAUUCCAGGUGUAGUGGUGAAAUGCGUAGAGAUCGGCAGGAACACCCAGGGGGAAACCAGUCGACUGGGCAGCACCUGACGCUAAUGUGCGAGAGCGUGGGGAGCGAACCGG